AGGUUAAAUAUGUUAAAUGUUGGAAGCAUUGGGAAACAUAUAGUGGGAGAUAUUAAAAGGUGAUUCAAGUAAUGCAGUAAAAUGGUUCAGAAUGUUUUAAUGUUGGUUGCUUUAAGGUACGAUGCUUGUAGACUGUGUUGGUAGGUUUAAAGGACAAGGCCUUAUGGUCUGUAGGAGGUUGGUAAUGACAUGUUAUAAUGAUGAAAUGGUAUAAUGUUGAAGGGUUUUAAAAAUGUUGAAUGUUUAGGAAGUAAUGGGAAGAAUAGGUUCGAGUGGGAUUAUAAUUGAGAAGGGAAUGUUAAUGUUUAAAAAUGAAUGUUUAGAAAUAAAUGUUUUAAAAGUUAAUGAUAAUGGAGUGUACUGAGGGUGCUAUCUUGCUUUGGGAAUCCCCCGGUCAGAGCAGCCAGGAGGAGGCAUCCUGUCUAGACGUCCUGCCUAUGUGAGGAAAGAUGGGGGUUAGUGGGUGCUGAAAGAGCACCUUUUGAGUGUUAGCCACAAUGAGUUAACAGAAAGGAAGAUGGAGGGUAUAAAGGAGGCAUCAUUCUGGAGAAGGGUACGACUCUCUAUUAGCUUCAACAACCUGUGGACUGAUGGAAGAAGAUUUCUGCUGUAGCUUUUUAGCUUGAAAUGUAUUUUUAUAUAUAUUAAACUCAUAUUUAGAUUUAUAUUAUACUCAUAUUUAGAUUUGUAUUAUACUCAUAUUUAGAUUUAUAUUAUACUCAUAUUUAGAUUUAUAGCUUGAAAUACAUUCCGUUUUUUAUUAUUCUCAUAUUUAGAUUUGUAUUAUUCUCAGUUAAAGUAAAAUUCUAGGAGGGAUCCUUAAGGUUUCCUCAAUGAUAGAAGUGUGUUAAAGUAGCUGGUAGAGUUUUUAGACGCCAACUGAGGGACUGAUCAUCCUGAGGGGGGAGAUAAAAAACAGUAUAUAAAGUUGUAGAAGGUAAGAACCUGUUUUUCUAUGUAUUAAUUACUGUGCUUCUCAUAAAGUUGUAAAAAUACAAAACAUAUUGUAUUGGCAAUAAGGGUAUAGUUAAGGGCGUUGAAGGUGUCUAUCAAUUUAAUUUACUGUUGAUGUUGCUUAUCAUUGAUUGGCGAUGUUAAUUUGUGAUUGACUGAUUGAUCUGGAAUAUUUUAUCCAUGUUUCUGGAAUGUUGAAUAAAGUUGCUUUAUUGUUCUGAAA